CAUCACGCUGAUGCUGAGGAGGAAAUGUAGGACAAGAGAAGGAGAGGUCUGCAGUGAAAUCAUAGAGGGAGGGAGGAGAGAGGAGACAACAGAACUACAGCAGAGCAGUUCAUCUAACACAACAAGUCCUCAUACAUCCUCGUCUGUCGGCUCCAGGAUGGGGGGGCUUCAGCAGCUCGGUCUGCACGGAGCGUGAGGAGCCUUCCAGGGCCUUUGAUCCUCCCUUCGCCUCUCUGCAGCAGCGUCUCCUCCACAUCCAUCGGCACAAACAUGGACGGACUCCGCCUGCCCCCCGUCAUAGAGGAGGUCCUGGAUCCAUCCGAUGACCUGUGUGAGCUGAAGGUGGAGAAGCCGAUCAUGCUGGCAGACACUCUGACAGCCAAAGAGAGGGAGUCCCUGGAGGAGAAGGAGGAGACGGUGGGAGAUGGGGAGAAGGGUCAGCAGGAGGAGGAGAAGGAGGUUAAGGAGGAGAAGGGGGAGGAGGAGCAAGGAGGAGGAGGAGGAGGAGGAGUGAAAGAUGAAGAGGGGGAGCUGGAGGAGCUGAGGGCUCAGGUGCUGCAGCUGCUGCUGGAGCUGGAGGAGACCAGGGAGGUUUCCCAGAGACACGAGGAGAGCUUCAUGGAGCUGCAGGGUCUGUUAGAGGAAGAGCGGCUGGCAAGUGCCCAUCAGGCUGAGAGUUUCACCAGACAGAUUCAGAGGCUGCAAGCUCAGCUCCGUUCGGUUCAGGAGGAGAUGGACAGCCUGGAGGAGGAGAAGGAGAGUGAGCUGGAGGAGGUGCAGGAGGAGCUGCGCUCGGCUCAGGAGGAGGUUCUGGUCCUGCAGCAGGCGGCUGAGGAGGCAGCAGCGGAGAGGGAGAACGACAUCGCCUCCCUGCAGGAGGAGUUGUGUCGUCUGCGAGCGGAGCUGCAGCGCCUCCACACCACAGCACAGGAGUAUGAGCUGGAAAUCACAUCACUGAGGGCUGAGAUCAGUAUGAAGAGCCGCAACACACUCACUGAUCCACAUGGUAACAUGAGUCAGCUCAGGGACGAAGUCAUCUCUCUGACAAAUGAGCGCCAGUCGCUGACCAGUGACAACAAAGAGUUGAGCAGCAAAGUGGAACAACUGCAGCAGCAACGAGAGGCCUGUGAUGAUGUGUACCUGGCUGUCAGAGUUGAGGGCCAAACUGAGUGUGAGCAGAACGACCAGGUGAAGUCCGACGCCUACAUUACUCUGUCCCAGUCUGGUCCUGAACACCAGGAGGGACAGAGGGAUUCAGACUUGUCCUCAGUCCAGGAGCUCAGUGCCCUGAAGAUCCAACUGAGGCAAGCAGAGGAGACCGCUCAGAAAGUCCAGAGAGAAUGUGAUGGUUUGAAGUUUGAGCUGGCUGAGCUGCAGCAGCUUUACGACAGCAGUCAGCAAGAACGAGCAGCACUGGAGCAGGAGCUGCAACGCUGCAAGGCUGAGCUUCAGAAGCUGGUGGGAAGGAAGCCACAGACGGACUAUGAAGGCUGGAAUUUGGCAGUGGCGGCGGUUGCCGUGGCAGCCAUCGCCGUUCUGGUUGUCCCCAGCUUCACCCGGGCCUGAGGACUUCCACAGAAAAGUGACCUCAUGGUACAUCCUGAGAACUCUAGGAUUGUGGGAUUGCCAUCAUCCAUCCAGCGCCGCCCUCAUACAUGUCCGCUUGUUGCAUUGCUGUGUUUUAUGGGACAGCGCCGUGAAGACGAUUUGGCCCAUUUGCCACAGACGUCAGUGAGCGCUGGGGGAAAAGCAGUAAGAAAGACUGUUUAACUAACAAAGACUCUUCCUGCAGGGCGUCUUUGUACUGUAGGUCAGUAGUAUUAUUGAUGGACUGUCUAAUAUCCACUGUCCAACUGCAAAAUAUUUUACACUCUUUAAAUAUACUUAAAAUACUCAAAAAUUUCUUCAAAAUGUAUUUUAGGUAGAUUUACUGUCAUGAAAUAUAUCAUAAAGGUAUUGUUCUCAUGUUCAGGUCAGUUUAAGGUAAAAUAUAGGGAUUAGAGGUGCAAUUAAUUUUGAUAUCAAUUAAUCUGGAAUUGAAUAUUUUCUAAAUAGGUCAAUUAUAUUUUUAAUUUCAUGCAAAAUCGAAAAGACUUUUUUGAUUUGACCAACUGUUCAAACAUUACACUGUUAAUUGUUCCUCAAAAUCUAUUUAGCUAUCUAUUUAAUUGAAUAUCACAACCAGUUGAACAAAACAUCAACAUUGUUUUGUUCAGUUGUUCAAAAUGUGUCCUAAAUUCUUUAGGAUAUCUCUAUUUUCUUUAUUUUAGCAGAAAUUUUCGCAGGCACUUUGAUACAAAAAUGAAAGUUUAUACACUGCAGCCUGUAAAUCAUAUACAAGUGUAUCAGUGGAAUUUUGCCAACUCAUGUGUGGAUGAAAGUUGACAACUUGAACAACAUAUUUGCUGAUUUUUCAUGUUGUACAGUUGUAGCUGCGUUUAGAAGAGAGAAAAGGUGAAAUUGUUAGUGAUUUGUAUGUGAUCGCCAGACUUGGAGCCAUUUAAAAAAAAUGUAAAUAUAAAAAAUAAUGGACCUUUGAGUUGAUAAUCAACUGCUAUAGUUUAUGAAUAAACAAAAAAGAACAAAUUACAGCACCUAUUGAUUAAGUUGAAAUGGAUCAGUGGCAUUUUUACACCUAUUGUGUCCACUAAAAAUACUAAACUGUUUCAGGAUAUUAGAGAAAAGCAGAAUGUUCUGUUUUCUUUAAAAGUGACUUAAAGAAUUAGUUGAUAAUCAUCGUCUCUGACAAAUUUGUUAAAAUUUCUUGCCUUAUUUUCCUUGAGUCGGUAAAGAAUAUUUCACACUUGUUGAGUUAAACUGAUGGCAAAGUGGACGGUUUGUUAAAAGCAGUAGCACAUGAAAAUAGAACUUUUCCAUCAUAACUUGGUGUCAGUCCUGCUUUACGCUCUGUUCACUCAUUAUGCCUGUUUGUUCUGAAAAUACCACAAUGCAUCACUGAACAGGUUUCUUUUUGUAGCAUGAGAAAACAGUGGUUCAAGGGAAAAAUAAUUUUAAUAGUUUUAUUUUAUCUGCCUAACUCUUUAUAGAUUGAUUUAAAAUGUUUAUAUUUGGUGUUUGAUCCAACAGAGUAGCAUGGAUGUGUGUUACAUUAAAAUAUGAUUUAUUUUGAAUACAGAGACAUAUCUGAUGAGAGAUUAUUGUGACUGACUUCACUGUGCCAGCUUUAAGCUCAGAUUGUACCAGAGUUGCUUUAAAUUCCAGAGGGAUAUUUUUGCAUGUGAACAACUUUGUUUAUUUUUUGUUUUUUUAUUUAAUUUUUUCACAGGGGCUGUUGGGAAAGGAUGAAUUCCAGUAGCAGUUUAGAGAUGUAUAAGUCAAGAAUGUUCUGUUAUUAUGACAAUUUACCGUCAUUGCUACAAACAAUGCAAAUUUCAUAUUUGUGGUGAUGCAUAAUCUAAUCUGUAUUUAAUGGAACAUUUAUGAUUUAGUCAAAACUAACCUACAAGAUUUUCAGAUGUUUGUGUUCCUUUCGGAUUUUAAAGUUUUAAUUCUUUUUUUUUUAUUCUUCCUUUUUUAAUAUAGGAGUUUUGGUCUUAAUAUCAGCGCAGAGGCCUGACUCUUGUUUACAUUAUGAUGACCAAAUAGAAAAUACAAUCCUGUGUUGAACCGACUGUGAUCCUGUUUUGGUUGGAAUCAGGUGUUUUGUGUCUGGAUUUGUGAAAAUGCAUGUGAACUUAGUUAUACCAAAUAAUGAAUAACUUCAAAAUAACAAACAUUCCGGUUUAUUUUGGAUAUGACACUGUUGAGAUUACAAAUGAAUAAUAAAAAUUUUUAUGACUUUCUAUGCUGCAAAAAUAGUUGAAAAAUGCCUGAAUAAGACAAAACUGAACUGUAUACACCGUGGAUGAAGUGGCAUUAAUGAGUCAAAGUUGGUGUUUCUUAACUGUAUUUCAUUUUAAUAUUUAAUAAUAUAGUAGUAAACCCACUAGUUCAAAGACAAAACAUGGUUUGGACACACCUUCUUAUUCCAUGUUUGUUUGGUUUUGUUUCUAUUAUUUCUACAUUGUAAAUUAAAACACAGGACAUAAAACCUGUUAAAUAAUGUGUAUGGAGUUACUUAGUGAAUAGACUGUUAAAGUACAACAUGUUCCCUAGUAAUAGUUUUUUGCCUUCUGUUGUGAUGCCUUCAGUGUCAAUUUACAAUGUAGGAAAAUAUAAAUAUAAGGAGGAAACAAAGGUAGGUCAAUAAUGGACAGGCACUGUAUAUAUUGUUUGUUCAUGAUGAAAUUAUUCAUGAAUUAAGAUCAUAGAUUACUAUUGGCAGAUAAACAAAUGAUAUAAAUAAUGUCAUGGGACGAAAAUCUAGAUAUUUCUUUUGAAACGGGGAUGUUAAUAAUGAGUGGAGGGUUGUUUUAAUCAAAAUAAGAUUUAUUUAAAGGUAGGCAUAACAAAAAAUAAAAGUAUUCUUUAUUAGGUAGAAUUACGAAACAAACUUGAGAUACAGAGCUACAAUUAAGUGAAAAGUCAGUGUUUUCACUGACUCAGAAUUAUUUAAUUGUGACUGUUCUUCAGUCUCAUUCAUAUGGAGCUUGUAAAAACUGAUGAAAAACAAAUUCGGAGUAAAGAUUGCAGUGAUAAGAAAGUUUGGUGACACCUCAGUUAGUUUUAAGAUCACAAAAUUAAAAUGCCAUGAAAUUUUAAGAGUAAUCCUGACUACUAUCUGUAUAGUUUAUUUAUUAAUAGGUUUUUCUUUACUGCAUCAUUUUUGUUUGACAAGGAAAACAGUGACAUCCAGUAAUUUCUAUGAAAAUGGAGAAAUGAUUUGGUAAUAGUGUUAGAAGUAGACGAACCAGUGAUCAGCCUGUUGUUUAUUUUCUGUCAGUAACAGACAAUUCUUCCUGGAAGCUGCAUGCUGAUGUUAAUCUGUAAACAAAUUCUGUACUUCCAUCAUUUUUAUUUUUCGUCAAUAUAUGGUAAUGAUUUGUACUGUACAUAGAAUAGUUCACUUCAUAACUGAGGUUAUUUUCAUACAGCUGUUUAGUCUGUAGUGAAAUGUUUUUGAGAAAUAAUGUAUUGGUGACAACAGAUCACAAAGAUGUUCUGAUAAUUGGUUUACUGAUAUUAAGCAGGUAAUAUGUCACUUACUCUAUAUGUUCACUAUGUAGGUUCUUUAAAUAUUUGUUGUGAAUUUUGCUUUUCAACAAAUAUUCUUAAGGUAGUGUAUAAUGUUGCUCCAUGUGAUUCUUUUAUUCUUUAAUUUUAAAAAAUUUCUUCUUACUCUGCUUGGCAGAAAUUAGAUUUAAAAAUGUCCAUACAGAUUCAGGCUGAUAAAAUACUCCACACUGAUAUCAGAAACCUUUAUCAGACUGUCUUGUCUUGUCUGUGUACAUUAGUGUUGCAUGUUAGGGUUUAAAAGUAGUUAUUUUGCAUGAAAUAGACGAGUUAGUCUCAGAAGCUGUAGCAUCUUUAGCAGAGUUAGCAGUGGCAGCAUGAGCGCUGUAAUCCACUUCUUCCAUUAGUUACUUUUGCCAACAGACUGUUUUAUUACUAGUUUUACAGUUAAAAGGAGUCUUUUGGUGAAAUCCACUUGCUUUGUCUUCCAGGUGAGAAAACAUCGUAGUUAUCGGUUUCUUUUUUAAUCAGUGUGCACAUUAAUGUGUUAGUCGAAAAGCCGUUUCACACCAGUGUGAUGCAGAAAGGGAAAAUUGAAGUCUGCAUUACAAAUUUCUCUGCAUGAUAAACUUAUACACAAGGCACAAUGUGAUUUUUAUGUGUUUCCAUGUUCCAAAUUAUUUUUAAAAAGUAAAAAGAAAGAAAGAAAGAAAAAAAUAUACAAAAUUAGUGUAAGAAGAGAAAAUGUCAGGCAGUAGUUGACGGUAUGAGCUACGUCUGUGUUACUUCAGAUAAUAUUUUCAGAUGACUGAGGAACAGUUAGGUUUUUAACAUUUUGCCAUUUAUAAUGACAUAGCUUUAAUUUGUUCCUUGAUUAUCUUUGAUAUGUUUGAUUCUGGCUCAGGCUGAUGGUGUGAGUAACUGUACACGGAGCCUUUUGACUCUGUGAUAAUAGGUCAAAUGUGUAACCUAACAAAUGGAAAUUCACAGAAAUCAAGUAAAACUCCCUGCAGUGAUGUGCAAGUAUUCAUGAAAAACCUCAUUCAAUAAGUUUUUAUAAAUUUAUUAGAGAAAAAUGGUGUGAAAUGGCUUUAAUUUAGCAUAAAGACUUGGUAGCAGGGUGAAAUUGUUAGCCUAGCUUCAAACCUGUCCCAUUUACAUGCAACUAUCUGGUACAAGUAGUAUUUUCUUUUAACUAGAGUAGCCACAAAUUUGUAAUUUCACUUUAAUGUUUACUAUGUAAUAGCUAUAAACCAUUAGCAGAGCCAAGGUUGUGUUAUGAAACCAUGUUGUCUUCAAAGUUUAGUGAAAAUCUGGAUUCAGUGAUAAACAUAUAGUUAGGCAUGUAGCAGCACCAACAUAAACUCAUUUAGCCAAAGCUGUUCGCGUUAGCUAGAUAUUUUUAGUUUAGGAAAUAAAACAAUAAACAAUACUGGUAGCUAAUUAGUUAUUUAGGUAUCAUAUGUAUAAACUACUAGCAUAACCAAUGUUAUUUUUUUGUAUGUAACUGUAAUUAUUAAUGUAAUGUAUUGAUUUUGUUUUAAGACUAGCUUAGCACAAAGACUAGGAGAAGGGAAAAACUGCUAGUCUACCUCAAAAGUUUCUUAACUCACUAGGCUGGUUUCAUGUAUUAGUUGUUGUAAAGAAAAGAGAAGUGUAAUGUAUAAAAUGUCUAAAUAUAAACAAAAUGAUAAGGGGCAUUUAGCAGCGGGUAGCAUUGAAGCUAUUGCUAGGCUAACAGUGUCCCCUGCUUCCUGUCUCUGAGCUAAAGCUAAGCUAAUACCAGUACAACUGGUGUAUCUAAAAGGUCUGUCAGGAUUUUCUUAAAUGUCUCAACAGUUGUCAACUCAUAUUAUUGUUGGAUUCUGUAACGCCUGUGUCUUUGUCGCUUGUCAUCUGUGUUUGAGGCUGUGUUGAUGCUGUUGUCCAGCUGCUGUUCCAACUGACUGACUGUGAACUGUUUUGCUUCUGUAAAAUACUGAAUGUAAUAUCUGGUGUUUCUGCACAAUGUUUGUCACCCGUUUAGGAUUUAAUUUAUUUGUAAUGACUUUAUUGAAAGGGCCUGUACAUUUUGUAAAUGGACUGUCUAAUAAAAACUCGUUUAUGCUUGUCUUU